AAAUAAAAGGCAUUUGGUGGAUCCCUAGGUAUUCAGAGCUGAAGAAGGGCGUGAGCAACUGCGAAAAGCUCCGAUGAGUUGAGCAUAAAUGUAGACUCGGAGAUUCCCGAAUAGGGCAACCUCAUAGUACCUUUUCUUGAAUUCAUAAUAGAAAAAGGAAAUAACCUAGUGAACUGAAACAUCUUAGUAGCUAGAGGAAAAAAAAGCAAAAGCGAUUUCCAUAGUAGUGGUGAGCGAAAUGGAACCAGCCUAAACCAAUAAUUAUUUAAUUUUUAUUGGGGUCGUGGGAAAAAUAUAAAAAGAAUUAGCAAAAAAGUGAAACAAUUGAAAGUUGUACCGUAGAUGGUGAAAGUCCAGUAACAACAUUUUAAAAUUCUUUGUUUUUAUCCCGAGUAGCAUGGGGCCCGUGAAAUCCCGUGUGAAUCCACGAGGACCACCUCGUAAGGCUAAAUACUCCUGAAUAACCGAUAGCGAAUAAGUACCGCGAGGGAAAGGUGAAAAGAACCCCAGUAGGGGAGUGAAAUAGAACAUGAAACCAAAUGCUGACAAUCAGUGGGAAGAGAAAUUCUCUGACCGCGUGCCUGUCGAAGAAUGAGCCGGCGAGUUAAAUGUAGUGGCAGGUUAAGAAGUAGCUUCGAAGCCUUAGCGAAAGCAAGUCUGAAUAGGGCGCUAGGUCAUUAUAUUUAGACCCGAACCCGGAUGAUCUAACCAUGACCAGGGUGAAACUACGGUAACACGCAGUGAAGGCCCGAACCGACCGAUGUUGAAAAAUCGGCGGAUGAGUUGUGGUUAGGGGUGAAAUGCCUAUCGAAUCCGGAGCUAGCUGGUUCUCCCCGAAAUGUGUUGAGGCGCAGCGCUUAAUAAUGGGUUUUCUAGGGGUAAAGCACUGUUUCGGUACGGGCUGCGAGAGCGGUACCAAAUCGUAGCAAACUUAGAAUACUAGAAAUGCUUUCUAUUAAGCAGUGAGACAGUGGGGGAUAAGCUUCAUUGUCAAGAGGGAAACAGCCCAGAUCACUAGCUAAGGCCCCUAAAUGAGUUUUAAGUGUUAAAGGAAGUAGAGAUGCAUAAACAGCCAGAAGGUUUGCUUAGAAGCAGCCAUCCUUUAAAGAGUGCGUAACAG
rnacentral:rRNA from 1 species